AAGUCGUAACAAGGUUUCCGUAGGUGAACCUGCGGAAGGAUCAUUAAUGAUUUGUUAUAAAAUAAAUAAAUUUAUUUUUAAACUAUUAUAAAAUCUUUUCAAAAAAAGGAUUAUUAAUUUAAUCCUGUGGAAUGUACUUCCCACGUUAAAUAUUCGUGCCAGGUGAAAUAUUUUAUAUAUUAAACCUGCUUUUUUUUUAUUAUUAUUAAAAUAUGAAAGUAUUUUAUUUAAAAAUUAAGAAAGCUUUUAAAAUAAAACUAUAUAAAAUUAAAUCAAAGUCAUAUAAUUGAUUCCGUUAAAUUAUAAAUUUAAAACAACUUUUAACAAUGGAUCUCUUGGCUCUU
rnacentral:misc_RNA from 1 species